rnacentral:sRNA from 1 species
GGUGGUUUACAUAUAUACCCGAGGUGGAACUUUUUGAAUUGAAAUGCAAACUACAUUUUGUUCAGCUAUGGAAUAUUAUUAAUUUUUCUCUGAAUCAAUAAAACAAUGUGGAUAUGGCGUAAAGGAAAUUCUAUGAAAAUUAAUAUGGUGCUUUCCUCUUUGCUGAUUCUAAACAAUUGGGAAUUUCUCCAAAGCCACUGACAACCUCAAGUGUAAAUGUUUUUAUUUGAAUUGUUAAUAUAUAUGAAAUACAUAUUCGCAAAGUGUAUACACGAAAAAUAUUAAUAAACAAAAGACAAGAUAUAAAUAAAUAAAUG